UGGAUCAGUGAUGAUAACUGCCAGUGUAUGAGUCACGGGUGAUAAAUGAUAAGUGUCUGGAACUCUGAGGUCCAA
ensembl:snoRNA